GCGGGUAUGGUUCAGUGGUAGAACACGACCUUCCCAAGGUUGAGAUACGGGUUCGAUUCCCGUUACCCGCU
rnacentral:tRNA from 1 species